rnacentral:misc_RNA from 1 species
UCCGGUUUGGCACCGGCAGUCCUCCCAGAGUCCCCGCCUUGACGCGCUGGCAACUGGGAGCGGGGGUUGCGCUCGUUGCGGGACUUAACCCAACAUCUCACGACACAGCUGACGACAGCCAUGCAGCACCUGUCGAGCGGUCCCGAAGGGAAGACCUCAUCUCUGAGGCUGCCCCCUGUUGUCUAGCCCAGGUAAGGUUCUUCGCGUUGCGUCGAAUUGAACCACAUGCUCCACCGCUUGUGCGGGCCCCCGUCAAUCCCUUUGAGUUUUAGCCUUGCGGCCGUACUCCCCAGGCGGGGCACUUAAUGCGUUAGCUACGGCACGGAAUCCGUUGAUAAGACCCCACACCUAGUGCCCAACGUUUACGGCGUGGACUAC